rnacentral:rRNA from 1 species
ACCAGACUCCUACGGGAGGCAGCAGUGGGGAAUAUUGCACAAUGGGGGAAACCCUGAUGCAGCAACGCCGCGUGAGUGAAGAAGUAUUUCGGUAUGUAAAGCUCUAUCAGCAGGGAAGAAGAUGACGGUACCUGAUUAAGAAGCCCCGGCUAACUACGUGCCAGCAGCCGCGGUAAUACGUAGGGGGCAAGCGUUAUCCGGAUUUACUGGGUGUAAAGGGAGCGCAGACGGCAGUGCAAGUCUGGAGUGAAAGCCCGGGGCCCAACCCCGGAACUGCAUUGGAAACUGUUGAACUGGAGUACAGGAGAGGUAAGCGGAAUUCCUAGUGUAGCGGUGAAAUGCGUAGAUAUUAGGAGGAACACCAGUGGCGAAGGCGGCUUACUGGACUGUAACUGACGUUGAGGCUCGAAAGCGUGGGGAGCAAACAGGAUUAGAUACCCCGGUAGG